CCUACGGGUGGCAGCAGUGAGGAAUAUUGGUCAAUGGACGAGAGUCUGAACCAGCCAAGUAGCGUGAAGGAUGAAGGUCCUACGGAUUGUAAACUUCUUUUAUAAGGGAAUAAACCCUCCCACGUGUGGGAGCUUGUAUGUACCUUAUGAAUAAGCAUCGGCUAACUCCGUGCCAGCAGCCGCGGUAAUACGGAGGAUGCGAGCGUUAUCCGGAUUUAUUGGGUUUAAAGGGAGCGCAGACGGGUCGUUAAGUCAGCUGUGAAAGUUUGGGGCUCAACCUUAAAAUUGCAGUUGAUACUGGCGUCCUUGAGUGCGGUUGAGGUGUGCGGAAUUCGUGGUGUAGCGGUGAAAUGCUUAGAUAUCACGAAGAACUCCGAUUGCGAAGGCAGCACACUAAUCCGUAACUGACGUUCAUGCUCGAAAGUGUGGGUAUCAAACAGGAUUAGAUACCCUAGUAGUC
rnacentral:rRNA from 1 species